rnacentral:rRNA from 1 species
ACCGGAUAAGACAGCUGGAUGAUAGCCGGGCUGAAGACUCUGCUUGACUAGCUGAGAGGAGGUGCAUGGCCGUCGUCAGUUCGUACUGUGAAGCAUCCUGUUAAGUCAGGCAACGAGCGAGACCCACGCCAACAGUUGCCAGCAUGUCCUCCGGGAUGAUGGGGACACUGUUGGGACCGCCUCUGCUAAAGAGGAGGAAGGAAUGGGCAACGGUAGGUCAGCAUGCCCCGAAUUAUCCGGGCUACACGCGGGCUACAAUGGUCAGGACAAUGGGUAUCGACACCGAGAGGUGGAGGCAAUCUCCUAAACCUGUCCUUAGUUCGGAUUGUGGGCUGCAACUCGCCCACAUGAAGCUGGAAUCCGUAGUAAUCGCGUUUCAAAAUAGCGCGGUGAAUAUGUCCCUGCUCCUU